GCACUUGUAGAGACAUGUUUACCUUUUCGUUUAUCAUCUCUGAAGGACUCAAACUCGGAGUUUGCUUCUCUUGGUCUCGAACGCCUUGUUGAAUAAACGUCUUGAUAAGAGUCUCUUGUCGAGUAGUGUCGUCGGGAUGAUCUUAACUCCGUCUCUUGACUCGAUGAAAUUUGCUUUCGUUGGGCUCUUUUCUCUACUCGAUCCAAUCGAUCAUGCAAUUUAUCAAAUUUUGAUUUCACCAUUCUAUGCACUUCUUGCAUCAAAUAUUGGAAUUCUGAUUCGAAAAAUUCUUCUUGAUACAUUUUUUUUUGCUAAAAGAGAAAAAAAAUGAUUAAAAUACAAUAGAAAAUAAAUACCUCACCACACAAAAAAAAAUCUCACGUUUCACUCACAAAG
rnacentral:lncRNA from 1 species